rnacentral:rRNA from 1 species
CUCAAUGAAACUUCAAUAGCCGCAACCUUGUGCUAAGGUAGCAUAAUCAUUUGCCUUUUAAUUAAAGGCUAGAACGAAAGAUUUAACAUUUUUAAUACUUUUUUAAUUAUAAUUUUUUAAUUUAUUUUAAAUAUAAAAAAAUAUUUAUAAAAAAAAAAGACGACAAGACCCUAAUGAACUUAACUUUUGUUUAACUGGGGUAGUUAAUUAAAUAUUAUUUUAAAUUAUUAAAAAAAAACCUAAUAAAUUUAAUUAAUAAGUUACCAUAGGGAUAACAGCGUAAUAAUUUUCAAUAGAUCUUAUUUAAAAAAUAGAUUGCGACCUCGAUGUUGAAUUAAUAUCCUAUUAUACGCAAUAGUUUAAUAAGGAAGUCUGUUCGACUU